rnacentral:rRNA from 1 species
GACGAACGCUGGCGGCGUGCCUAAUACAUGCAAGUAGAACGCUGAAGGAGGAGCUUGCUCUUCUGGAUGAGUUGCGAACGGGUGAGUAACGCGUAGGUAACCUGCCCUGUAGCGGGGGAUAACUAUUGGAAACGAUAGCUAAUACCGCAUAACAGUAGAUGUUGCAUGACAUUUGCUUAAAAGUUUCAAUUGUACCACUACCAGAUGCACCUGCGCUGUAUUUGCUAGUUGGUGGGGCAACGGCGCACCAAGGCGGCGAUACAUAGCCGACCUGAGAGGGGGAGCGGCCACACUGGGACGGGGACACGGCACAGAGUCCUUCGGGAGGCAGCAGUAGGGAAUCUGCGGCAAGGGGCGGAAGUCUGACCGAGCAACGCCGAGUGAGGGAAGAAGGUUUUCGGGUCGUAAAGCUCUGUUGUAAGAGAAGAACGAGUGUGAGAGUGGAAAGUUCACACUGUGACGGUAUCUGACCAGAAAGGGACGGCUAACUACGUG